CUAAAAACAGGUUUUGUUAUACUGGAAGUUUCUUGACAGAAUAACAAAACAGUAUCCAUAUAUCUGUCACAACACAAGGCAGGUCUGCCAGGAAAAAUACACGGGCUAUUCACUUGAAGAAAUAAAAAAAGAAGCGCAGAAAUCUCUGAAACAUCUGAUUUCCCCUUCUCCAUGGAAAAAUGCUGUUUAUGACUUUGCUAUGGAAACGUGCUGGGUCAUUUUAACGCUGGGUUAUUUUUUUCUGCCUAACCACUGGGUUGACCUUGUCUCUGGUGAAACUUCUCAACAAUGUUGCUGCUGA
ensembl:lncRNA